rnacentral:rRNA from 1 species
UACGGGAGGCAGCAGUAGGGAAUCUUCCGCAAUGGGCGAAAGCCUGACGGAGCAACGCCGCGUGAGUGAUGAAGGUCUUCGGAUCGUAAAACUCUGUUGUUAGGGAAGAACAAACGUGUUAGUAACUGCGCACGUCUUGACGGUACCUAAUCAGAAAGCCACGGCUAACUACGUGCCAGCAGCCGCGGUAAUACGUAGGUGGCAAGCGUUAUCCGGAAUUAUUGGGCGUAAAGCGCGCGUAGGCGGUUUCUUAAGUCUGAUGUGAAAGCCCACGGCUCAACCGUGGAGGGUCAUUGGAAACUGGGAAACUUGAGUGCAGAAGAGGAAAGUGGAAUUCCAUGUGUAGCGGUGAAAUGCGCAGAGAUAUGGAGGAACACCAGUGGCGAAGGCGACUUUCUGGUCUGUAACUGACGCUGAUGCGCGAAAGCGUGGGGAUCAAACAGGAUUAGAUACCCUGGUAGUCCACGCCGUAAACGAUGAGUGCUAAGUGUUAGGGGG